GGAAGCCCUGUACACACAACGUUCCACUUCCACAGUCCCUGUCUCUGGGGGAAAAAAAAAGAGAAUGUCUGGGCCCAGAAAACAACUACUCCUUAGAAGUCUCCAAGACACUCUUUCCCAUCAGAUUAUGUACCUGUGGUACUGAAAAAUUGGCCAUGGCUUGAUGAAACUUAGAAAAAAAGCAGCAAGAAUAUGGCGUUUGAGUGAGGAGCUGUCCGUAAUGGUAUCGUCAGGGCCCAGGAACCCAGGAUUCUUGGUGUGUUCCUGAGACUCUAUGGAGCAAGAAGAGAUAGCUACCAAGAAAGGAAGAGAGAAACCAGACCAUCCUAACUCCAGCAGACUCGGUCUUCAAUGCCAAAGAUAGGCACCCUGCUUUAGAGACCUCCUUUUAGUACUAGAAAGAGAGAGAGAAAAAAAAAAGACUUUGCUGAAAGAUCUCUCCUCCCUGGAGAAACUAUUUUUCCAUGUUACUUUGAUAAGAAUCAAAGAUGAGUUUACACUUAUUUGGAAAUGAGCAUUGAGACAUUUUUCUAUUGUGUGGUUUCAUAAUUCCUUCUCAAUUAAGUAUUUCAAUAUGAUUCCUGUCUGGUCUGUUGGUAAGAUGCCAGCUAAGUUAUGAUGAUACUUUAGAUAAUAACUUCUCUUGUAUCCAGCACUGCAUGCAGCACCAGACUGGGGUAUAGCAGAAGGAAAUGGCAAACAGCUCCAGCAUCUUUGCCAAGAAAAUCCCAAAUGGGGCCAUAAAGAGUAAGACACAACUGAACAAUAAUAACGCUUAAUAAAUACUUGAUCAACGAAUGGUUAUGUGUUUAGGGCAAUGACUGUGACUAAUUCUGUUGUCUCCAAAUGUGUUUCCCACCUUCUCCGCUUUGCUCCCAUGUAUUCCCUAUCUUCAGAGAGCUAGAGGAGGCACCACGGUGUAAUGGAAAGUGGGUUAGAUUCAGAUCUUUGCUCUGCUACUAACUGCAUGACCUUGAGUGAAUCACUUCAUCUAUCUAGGCCUUACUUUUACCAUCAGCAAAAUAAAGGAGAUGAACCAGAUGAAUCCCAAAGGCCCCUUUCAACUCUGUGAUACAGGGUGCUAUACUCUGAGAUCAGGAGUGGGAAACCUGCAGCCUUGAGGCCACAUGUCGCCUCCUAGGUCCUCAGGUGCAGCCUUCUGACUGAGUCCAAGUUUUACAGAAUAAAUUAAGGGAAUUUGUUCUGGGAAGUUUGGAUUCAGUCAAAGGGCCGUACUUGAGGAUCCAGAGGGCCACAUGUGGCCUCGAGGCUGCAGGUUCCCCACCCCUGUCCUAGGUGCUAGAUACCUGGCUCAGAUGCAACCAAUCAGGAGAUUUUUGUGGGAGAGAACUCUCACAUUUAAAAGAAAAAAAAUAGCAGGAGGAGAAGAAGCAGGGAGAAAUCAACUCACUGGCAAGUUUUGGUUGUUUAUUUUUAAUUCCAGAUGGUGAAUUGGGUUUGGUUGGUAGAUUACCUCAUUACCAGGCAAAUCAAAGUUGAGUACAAGUGUCCAUCUGUCUAGUUCUCUUCAUUGUCAUCAGAAUACCCUCUGUGCCCUCUGCCCCCUUAGCACUUCAGUAUUUAAUUUUUCCUGAAUCAUUUUAGUAAUUGGCCAUCAUUCUCGUGUCACCCAUUUAUCCUAUGUUCUCAGUUGAAUUCAUCAUGAUGUAUUAGAAAGAGCAUUGCUGUUGGUGUCCAAACACCCGAGUCCCAGUCCCCGUUCUGGUACCUACCAGCUUUCUGGUAUCGGGCAAAUCCUUUCGCUUUCUUGAGCUUCUGUUUUCUUAUGUGUAUUAUGGGAAUGAUCAUGCUCUCCUUACUUGGGUUAUGACAACAUCAAGGACAGAGAACCCUUCAAGGGUAGUUUGCUACCCACAGUGACCGUAUGUCCAGAUUUCCUGGGAGAGUCCCAAGUCUGAGAAAAAGAAGUGAACCUUGAAUAAAGCAGAAGGAAUAUCCCUUAUCACACCAUACAUCGUAAUCUGCAUGUACCUCACCAUAGCACCUAGACACGUGUUAAGGACACAGCGACACAGCAGACACAGCAGGAGAGGGUGAGCGAGCUUCUGGCUAGAUUAGAAUCAUGGGGCUUUUCAUAGGAUGAGAGGUAAUUUAAAAACUGUUUAGACAAAGUUCUAGUAUCCAUUGUGUUUCAACAAGGAGACAUCAUUGUUUGUGACUAAGUAUAUUUGUCUCUGAAUAAUGGAGAAUUAAUGCAAUUCAUUUCAAAACAGAUUUUCAGCUAUUUUUAUCCCGUUUGAUUGACGACAUGAAUAGGUAGAAGGAAAGUAAUAUAUUUAAUUUGCAUUGUGAUGACUCAAUGUGUUUUGAAAUCUUGGCAAAUAUAAUUCUAAGUGACCGUGAAUGUUACAAUUUAAUAAAUAAUCCUUUAGAAUAUCCA